rnacentral:pre_miRNA from 1 species
UCUCAUGGAAAUGAUUAAAGAAUGUAGUUUCUUGAGAUGGAAUCUACUACCAGUGAAGAUGCUGUGAA